CCUACGGGAUGCAGCAGUGAGGAAUAUUGGUCAAUGGGCGGGAGCCUGAACCAGCCAAGUCGCGUGAGGGAGUACUGCACUAUGGGUUGUAAACCUCUUUUGUCAGGGAGCAAAGGCCGGACGUCUCCGGCUGUGGGAGUACCCGGAGAAACAGCAUCGGCUAACCCCGUGCCAGGAGCCGCGGUAAUACGGGGGAUGCGCACGUUGUCCGGAUUUAUUUGGUUUAAAGGGUGCGCAGGCGGAUUUUUAAGUCAGCGGUCAAAUCGUGGGGCUCAACCCCAUCCAGCCGUUGAAACUGGGGAUCUAGAGUGUGCGAGAGGUAUGCGGAAUGCGUGGUGUAGCGGUGAAAUGCAUAGAUAUCACGCAGAACCCCGAUUGCGAAGGCAGCAUACCGGUGCACAACUGACGCUCAGGCACGAAAGCGUGGGUAUCGAACAGGAUUAGAUACCCUUGUAGUC
rnacentral:rRNA from 1 species